rfam:Medicago truncatula strain A17 chromosome 7, whole genome shotgun sequence.
CCCUUAACUAUUAAAAGUUUCGUUUUGGUCCCUUAACUUAUUUUUUGGUCUUGUUUUGGUCCUUUAACUUAUUUGUUGGUUUCAUUUUGGUCCCUUAACUUUAUUACAUUCAUCCUAACAUAAAGGACCAAAGUGGUUGACGGAGGAAGAGUUAAGGGACCAAAACGAAACCAAAAAGUUAAGUUAAAGGACCAAAACGAAACCAAAAAGUAAGUUAAGGGACCAAAAUGAAACUUUCAAUAGUUAAGGGA